UGACACUGGUGAUGAGUUGAUCCUAUUUCCGGUCCUUGCACAUUAUUUCCGUUUUGAUUAAUGGCGGCUAACCACGAGGAGCAGAGAGUGUUCAAACGCAGCGUGGCAGACCAACGACACGAGCCUGAGGCAGCUUGCAAAUUGAGCUGACCUCAUGCUGGUGAAAAUUCAAUAUCAAUGAGUGAAGAAAUUUGUGGAACUGCUUAACGAUUGUGCAUUCCAAGUAGUCACCCACAGGAUCCUCAACCCUCAGCACAAGUACUCAUUCUUUCACUCUCUUCAGCUGACCGUGAGACAGAGCAGUGCAAAAUCAAUAGGCAUCGGCUAGCAAAAGCUUUAGCAUAGAUGCUAAGGCAAAUGGAUUGUCCAAGACGCCCUGGAAAAACAAUAGUGAUGAGGAUGAAAACUAAGAUGAGACAGACUUGUGCACUUCCAUAAGUCCUGCACCAGUAUUGAAGCCCAUCUCAGUCAGAGGGAGGACCACCAGCCAUACCUACUAUUGAGAAGAUCAAAGGCAGGAUCACCUUAUUCUAUGUGGUUGGACAAGCUUCUCAUCUCUUCUGAAGGAACCAGCUCCUUGAGUACUAUUGAACUCUUAAGUCCACUAUGUUUUCAACCUGUUGUAUGAGUAAGUCAUUUUCAAUGUCUUUAUCUUCCUUCUACACUCUACAACAUUGCUGUUGGUCAUACCAGUAAGUUGCCAAGAGUAAAGAAAUCACAUGCAAAGCAUUGACAAACUUUUGACGAAACAUUUUUCAGAGCAUCAUGUAUUUUAAUUACAAAGAUAUUUUAAGUUGAGAGUACUUCUAACAGCGAGCAUAUUGAAGUUCUACAGACCUUCAGACUUCACAUGGGUGAUAUGAUGGUGAAUUUGUAGGUUUGUUUUAAGUGUCCUUUUAACUUUUUGAAAAUAAAGGUUCA